rnacentral:rRNA from 1 species
CCUACGGGGGGCAGCAGUGGGGAAUAUUGGGCAAUGGGCGCAAGCCUGACCCAGCAACGCCGCGUGAAGGAAGACGGCUUUCGGGUUGUAAACUUCUUUUCUCAGGGACGAAGCAAGUGACGGUACCUGAGGAAUAAGCCACGGCUAACUACGUGCCAGCAGCCGCGGUAAUACGUAGGUGGCAAGCGUUAUCCGGAUUUACUGGGUGUAAAGGGAGUGUAGGCGGGACGGCAAGUCAGAUGUGAAAACCACGGGCUCAACCUGUGGACUGGAUUUGAAACUGGAGUUCUUGAGUACUGGAGAGGUAGACGGAAUUCGUAGUGUAGCGGUGAAAUGCGUAGAUAUUAGGAGGAACACCAGUGGCGAAGGCGGUCUGCUGGACAGCAACUGACGCUGAGGCGCGAAAGUGUGGGGAGCAAACAGGAUUAGAUACCCGUGUAGUC